UUUUAUGAUAGUAAACAUAUUUAAUGUUUAUAGAAAAUAACGUGACACAAAACCCGAAUUUUGAAAACAUUAUUGAUAAAUAUGCUUCAUCUAAAAGUAGAAAAGUAUUGUCAUAAAUAAAAAAUAUUUUGUAUGAAUUAAUGUUAUAUGUAGUUUAUAAUGGUAUUGUGAUUAAAGUUUCUAUUGAACAGUGUCAAAUUAUUAUAAAAAAAAUUAUUGUUUGUUUGAUUUUGUUACAUACAUGUAUGCAGUUUUUUAAAAAUAAAAGAAUUGAUUUUCAACAGAUUUAUUUUAAUAGGGCCCCAAAAAUCUCUCAUGGCUUGGGCCCCCUUAAGGCAAAGUUCACCACUGACAAAAGAAGACAUCUAAACACUGGAAGUUUUUGAAAUGUGGAAUUUAUAUCAGAUGAAUAAGAUAAAAUGGACAGAAAAAAAUAAAUGAACAGAUCUUGAAAGAAGUUGAAGAAACUUGAUAAGAAUAAUAGAAAAAAAGAUGGGACAGUUGGAUAGAUCAUAUUCUAUGAUAUGAAAGCUUAACAAGGAGAAUUUUUAAAGAGAUCAUACAGGAAAAGAGAAAGACCAAGGAAAAGUUUCCUUAAUAAACUAAAAGAAAGCAUAAAACUUAGGAAUUUUGAACAAAUAAAGAAAACCAACACAGAAAAGAAUUGAAAAAGUUGUUGCUGAGCUAUCAAUCCUAGGAUUGAUGCAACUAAUGAAUGCACCAAAUAGAAGUAUGGUGUUUUGAAAAGUUUUCCUUACUCAUUUGUUAUCUCUUGACUGGUCUUAUUUUUGUUUCUAUGGCACUAAUAUAAACUUAUAUCAAUUAUAUAUCAUGUUAGC
rnacentral:lncRNA from 1 species